rnacentral:tRNA from 1 species
UCCGGUGUAGCUCAGUUCGGUAGAGCGCCUGGCUGUUAACCAGGAUGUCGGUGGUUCGAGCCCACUCUCCGGAGCAA